rnacentral:misc_RNA from 1 species
GAAUAGAAUGAAUUUAAGAACUUACCCUCAUCGUGAUAAGACAGAUACAGUCAUUGAGCAUGAUACAUCUAAUCAGUUAGAAUCCUUGGAUUCGGUUCCUGCAUAUCUUGAGCCUGAGGACUUAUGUGGUAAGACCGCUUCUUUUGAUACUCAAUCUGAUUUUAAUUCUUCUGUUGAUGAUCUUGAUAUACCCAUUGGUUACAGAAAAGGGGUUAGGGCUUGCACCAAACAACCUAUAUCCAAGUUUGUUUCUUAUGAUUCUUUAUCU